rnacentral:pre_miRNA from 1 species
AGGGGGAACAACCACAGUGGCAGCGGCCAGCUCUGGAGUCCUGGAUUCAGCUGCCGUAGUAGCUAUGGAGCUCUCAGUCUGCAGGGGCCUGGAUGCUCCGGGGGCGG